rnacentral:rRNA from 1 species
UACGUAGGGUGCGAGCGUUAAUCGGAAUUACUGGGCGUAAAGCGUGCGCAGGCGGUUUUGUAAGCCAGAUGUGAAAUCCCCGGGCUUAACCUGGGAAUGGCAUUUGGGACUGCAAGGCUCGAGUGCGGCAGAGGAGACUGGAAUUCCUGGUGUAGCAGUGAAAUGCGUAGAUAUCAGGAGGAACACCGGUGGCGAAGGCGGGUCUCUGGGCAGUAACUGACGCUGAGGCGCGAAAGCGUGGGGAGCAAACAGG